rnacentral:rRNA from 1 species
UACGGAGGGAGCUAGCGUUGUUCGGAAUUACUGGGCGUAAAGCGCGCGCAGGCGGUUUGCCAUGUCCGGUGUGAAAUCUCCCGGCUCACCUGGGAGGGGGCGCUGGAGACGGGCAGACUGGAGGCAGGCAGAGGUCGGUGGAAUUCCUGGUGUAGCGGUGGAAUGCGCAGAUAUCAGGAGGAACACCAAUAGCGAAGGCAGCUCGCUGGGACGUUACUGACACUGAGGCGCGAAAGCGUGGGGAGCGAACAGG